rnacentral:rRNA from 1 species
GUCGAGCGAAUGGAUUAAGAGCUUGCUCUUAUGAAGUUAGCGGCGGACGGGUGAGUAACACGUGGGUAACCUGCCCAUAAGACUGGGAUAACUCCGGGAAACCGGGGCUAAUACCGGAUAACAUUUUGAACUGCAUGGUUCGAAAUUGAAAGGCGGCUUCGGCUGUCACUUAUGGAUGGACCCGCGUCGCAUUAGCUAGUUGGUGAGGUAACGGCUCACCAAGGCAACGAUGCGUAGCCGACCUGAGAGGGUGAUCGGCCACACUGGGACUGAGACACGGCCCAGACUCCUACGGGAGGCAGCAGUAGGGAAUCUUCCGCAAUGGACGAAAGUCUGACGGAGCAACGCCGCGUGAGUGAUGAAGGCUUUCGGGUCGUAAAACUCUGUUGUUAGGGAAGAACAAGUGCUAGUUGAAUAAGCUGGCACCUUGACGGUACCUAACCAGAAAGCCACGGCUAACUACGUGCCAGCAGCCGCGGUAAUACGUAGGUGGCAAGCGUUAUCCGGAAUUAUUGGGCGUAAAGCGCGCGCAGGUGGUUUCUUAAGUCUGAUGUGAAAGCCCACGGCUCAACCGUGGAGGGUCAUUGGAAACUGGGAGACUUGAGUGCAGAAGAGGAAAGUGGAAUUCCAUGUGUAGCGGUGAAAUGCGUAGAGAUAUGGAGGAACACCAGUGGCGAAGGCGACUUUCUGGUCUGUAACUGACACUGAGGCGCGA